rnacentral:rRNA from 1 species
AUUGAACGCUGGCGGCAUGCCUUACACAUGCAAGUCGAACGGCAGCGGGGGAGAAGCUUGCUUUUCCUGCCGGCGAGUGGCGAACGGGUGAGUAAUACAUCGGAACGUGCCCUGUAGUGGGGGAUAACUAGUCGAAAGAUUAGCUAAUACCGCAUACGACCUGAGGGUGAAAGUGGGGGACCGCAAGGCCUCAUGCUAUAGGAGCGGCCGAUGGCUGAUUAGCUAGUUGGUGGGGUAAAGGCCUACCAAGGCGACGAUCAGUAGCUGGUCUGGGAGGACAAUCAGCCACACUGGGACUGAGACACGGCCCAGACUCCUACGGGAGGCAGCAGUGGGGAAUUUUGGACAAUGGGCGAAAGCCUGAUCCAGCAAUGCCGCGUGUGUGAAGAAGGCCUUCGGGUUGUAAAGCACUUUUGUCCGGAAAGAAAUGGCUCUGGUUAAUACCUGGGGUCGAUGACGGUACCGGAAGAAUAAGGACCGGCUAACUACGUGCCAGCCGCCGCAGUAA